rnacentral:rRNA from 1 species
CCUACGGGGGGCUGCAGUGGGGAAUUUUGGACAAUGGGCGAAAGCCUGAUCCAGCCAUGCCGCGUGCGGGAAGAAGGCCUUCGGGUUGUAAACCGCUUUUGUCAGGGAAGAAAUCUUUCGAGCUAAUACCUUGAGAGGAUGACGGUACCUGAAGAAUAAGCACCGGCUAACUACGUGCCAGCAGCCGCGGUAAUACGUAGGGUGCGAGCGUUAAUCGGAAUUAGCGGGGGCAAAUGUUGAAGAGGGGGUUGAAAUCCCCGGGCUUAACCUGGGAACUGCACUUGUGACUGCACGGCUGGAGUACGGCAGAGGGGGAUGGAAUUCCGCGUGUAGCAGUGAAAUGCGUAGAUAUGCGGAGGAACACCGAUGGCGAAGGCAGUCCCCUGGGCCUGUACUGACGCUCAUGCACGAAAGCGUGGGGAGCAAACAGGAUUAGAUACCCCUGUAGUC